rnacentral:tRNA from 1 species
GCCUGGGUGGCUCAGUUGGUUGAGCAUCUGAUUUUGGCUCAGGUCAUGAUCUCUCAGUCCGUGAGUUCGAGCCCCGUGUCGGGCU